GGAUAGCUCAGUCAGUUGAGCCUGAGACUCGGAAUCUCAGGGUUGUGGGUUCAUGCCCCACGUUGGGCA